rnacentral:rRNA from 1 species
AGCGAACGCUGGCGGCAGGCCUAACACAUGCAAGUCGAACGGACCCUUCGGGGCCAGUGGCGGACGGGUGAGUAACACGUGGGAAUGUGCCUUUUGGUUCGGAAUAGCUCCUGGAAACGGGUGGUAAUGCCGAAUGUGCCCUUUGGGGGAAAGAUUUAUCGCCAUUAGAGCGGCCCGCGUCUGAUUAGCUAGUUGGUGAGGUAAAGGCUCACCAAGGCGACGAUCAGUAGCUGGUCUGAGAGGAUGACCAGCCACAUUGGGACUGAGACACGGCCCAAACUCCUACGGGAGGCAGCAGUGGGGAAUCUUGCGCAAUGGGCGAAAGCCUGACGCAGCCAUGCCGCGUGAAUGAUGAAGGUCUUAGGAUUGUAAAAUUCUUUCACCGGGGACGAUAAUGACGGUACCCGGAGAAGAAGCCCCGGCUAACUUCGUGCCAGCCGCCGCAGUAACAC